AUUAACGUCUGCGGCGACGGUUCCCAAUCGGGAUCAAAAGGGAACACGGUGCGAGCCUCGCUCAAUUCCGUGACUGCCCCCGCAACUGUAAGCGGCGAGCUUCCUGCCAUUACGUCACUGGGCAUUUCGCCUGGGAAGACGGCAGGCGGCAAAGACCCGCGAGUCAGGAGACCUGCCGUCGGCCGCGGUCAUGC
rnacentral:ncRNA from 1 species